rnacentral:rRNA from 1 species
AUUCCAGCUCCAAUAGCGUAUAUUAAAGUUGUUGCGGUAAAAAAGCUCGUAGUUGGAUUUCUGUUGAGGACGACCGGUCCGUACCAUGUACGCGCAUCUGGUUCGGCCUCGGCAUCCUCUCGAUAGACGUUUCUGCGCUUGAUUGCGUGGAGCGGAUUUCGGGACUUUUACUUUGAGGAAAUUAGAGUGUUCACGGCAGGCUAUCGCCAGAAUACAUUAGCAUGGAAUAAUACUAUAGGAUCUCGGUUCUAUUUUGUUGGUUUCUAGACCCGGGGUAAUGAUUAAUAGGGACAAUUGGGGGCAUUUGUAUCAACACGUCAGAGGUGGAAUUCUUGGAUUGUGUUGCGACAAACUACUGCGAAAGCAUUUGCCAAGGAUGUUUUCAUUG